rnacentral:rRNA from 1 species
AACGAACGCUGGCGGCGUGGAUAAGACAUGCAAGUCGAACGGGAUUCCUUUCGGUAGCAAUACUGAGAGGGAUUCAGUGGCGAACGGGUGCGUAACACGUGGGGAAUCUGCCGAGAAGUGGGGGAUAGCUCGUCGAAAGGCGAAUUAAUACCGCAUAUGAUCAGGGAAGACAUCUUUCCAACAUCAAAGCCGGGGCAACCUGGCGCUUCUUGAUCGACCCCGCGGCCAUCAGCUAGUUGGUGAGGUAACGGCCCACCAAGGCUAUGACGGGUAGCUGGUCUGAGAGGACGACCAGUCACACUGGAACUGAGACACGGUCCAGACACCUACGGGUGGCAGCAGUCGAGUAAUUUUUCUCAA